rnacentral:rRNA from 1 species
UGGGGAAUAUUGGGCAAUGGACGCAAGUCUGACCCAGCAACGCCGCGUGAAGGAAGAAGGCUUUCGGGUUGUAAACUUCUUUUGUCAGGGAACAGUAGAAGAGGGUACCUGACGAAUAAGCCACGGCUAACUACGUG